rfam:Spinacia oleracea cultivar SynViroflay scaffold5891.con0010.1, whole genome shotgun sequence.
AUCAUCAUGUGAUGAGAUAGGAAUACUAUCUUAGGACACCUUCCAACACAGUCCGACAAUGGCUGUGAAUGAGAAAGAAAAUCCUUUCUGAUGAUGCU